CUGUUAUUGGCCAUAAAGGUGUUUCAAAUCCAGCCAACUCUGUCUUGUUAUAAUUCGUGACUUGCAACAUUGAUAUGCAUUCAAAGUAUAUAUUGUUCAAACAGUCCAUUGCAAACAGUGUAUAUAAAGCACUUUGUUGGUCUCUGUGUUUAGACUCCUUCAGAGCUUCUUCGUUACUUGCCAAGUUUUUUGCCUGGCAAAAAGGGAAAAGUCUGUCUGCCGUACAAUAAUAUACAUUUCUUGGCUAAUUGUUAAUACUUGGCUGACUGACAACUACCUCACCUUUUCGGCUAGCUGUCAACAAUUCUUACAAUGUACUUUCAAUCCCUCCAGGAGAAUCUUUCUACUCUGUGUCUCCAUCAACACCUCUUUUAAUAGAAUCUCUUGUAAGCAGAUUGCAUGGUGGUGAGAUCUGUACUCUAGCAUCCAAUAAUCCUUUCCGAUAGCAAGA